CACCUUCUCCUUCCCCUCGCUCUAUCGUUCCCCUCACUCUCUCCACUCCCGCACACACAAAUCCCUAAUCUCGGCCGAGUCACCCACUCCACUCCCUCCGCUGUCGCCCCCACAGCCGCCACAACCAGCGAACUCGUCUCCCACCGCUGCCCCCUCUCGUCCCCUCCCCUCUGCUCAUCUGACGGCGCUGACCGCGCAGAUCGAGCGACCAGGCGGCGGCCACAUGCGCACACAACCGGCGACCAACAUCACGCAAAGGUCACCACCGCCGUCGCCGAAGGGCGGUCUUCUUCCACCUCGAUGGACGAGCUUGCGCGCCAGGAGAGGAGCGGGGAUCCUGCGCUUCUUCCUCGCUCAGCGCCCCUGUCGCCAUGCCAUGGAUGGACCUCCCUCUGCUCUCACCAAUGCCAUGUACCGAGCUUGCUCUCCUCCUCGAGAUAUUAUCCUCCAAGCUAUAUGAUAUGGACAACACAUGAUUUAUGGAACGAAAAGAGAUCAUGUCAUCCAGAUAAUUAGAUUUCACCGCAUGAUGUUCUUUACCCCAGCCGAGCAUAGUGUGCUGCCGCGCCGUCGAUUUCCACGAAGUGGCCAGCCCGAGCCGAUUCCCCAAUGUGUCAAUGACUACGUCCGCUGCGUGAUCCUGUGGGACAUGACCAAUCCAUUGCCUUAUCAACACAUCGAGGUAACAAAUCCCCUCCUAAUACAGGUGCUUUGGUCGGCUGCUGGCUCUACCACAUAGCCUUCCGUCCACAAUGAGCAGGAGUUAAUAUUAGAAUAUGACCAUCUCUUUCUUAAUGAUGUGUGCCUUGUAUUUCCAUUUUGCUUUCUAAAAAUAUCGAUUCAGGGAACAAAAGUAAAGCAUGAUAAUUAUUAUUUUUGACUUUACAUUACAUAUCUCCAAGGUCCUAUUUUUUGCUUGGUAUGGGUAGUCAUUAUGCUUGGGCUCAUGACCAUGGUUAAUCUAUAGCAUGGUUUAGGGUGACCUAUUUAACAUAAUAGUGCUAUAUGUUUGCAUUUCUUGAACUGUCAGUAGGAACCUAUAUACCGCAAAAUAUUUGUAUGUCCCCUAUGGAAGGUUUUAGACAGUCAAUUGAUUUUGUCCCAUCCGACUAUCAUGCAGUCUGACUUCAGAUGACUAUGU